AGAGUUUGAUCCUGGCUCAGGACGAACGCUGGCGGCGUGCCUAAUACAUGCAAGUCGAGCGGAGCGCUUCGGCGCUCAGCGGCGGACGGGUGAGUAACACGUAGGCAACCUGCCUGUAAGACCGGGAUAACUACCGGAAACGGUAGCUAAGACCGGAUAAUUGGCUCUGUCGCAUGAUGGAGCUAUGAAACAUGGGGCAACCUAUGGCUUACGGAUGGGCCUGCGGCGCAUUAGCUGGUUGGUGGGGUAACGGCCUACCAAGGCGACGAUGCGUAGCCGACCUGAGAGGGUGAACGGCCACACUGGGACUGAGACACGGCCCAGACUCCUACGGGAGGCAGCAGUAGGGAAUCUUCCGCAAUGGACGCAAGUCUGACGGAGCAACGCCGCGUGAGUGAGGAAGGCCCUCGGGUCGUAAAGCUCUGUUGCCCUAGACGAACGCUUGGGAGAGUAACUGCUCUUAAGGUGACGGUAUAGGAGAAGAAAGCCCCGGCUAACUACGUGCCAGCAGCCGCGGUAAUACGUAGGGGGCAAGCGUUGUCCGGAAUUAUUGGGCGUAAAGCGCGCGCAGGCGGUCACUUAAGUCUUCUGUUUAAUGCCAGGGCUCAACUCUGGCACGCAGGGGAAACUGGGUAACUGGAGUGCAGGAGAGGAAAGUGGAAUUCCACGUGUAGCGGUGAAAUGCGUAGAGAUGUGGAGGAACACCAGUGGCGAAGGCGACUUUCUGGCCUGUAACUGACGCUGAGGCGCGAAAGCGUGGGGAGCAAACAGGAUUAGAUACCCCCGUAGUCC
rnacentral:rRNA from 1 species